rnacentral:rRNA from 1 species
UACGUAGGGUGCAAGCGUUGUCCGGAAUUAUUGGGCGUAAAGAGCUCGUAGGCGGUUUGUCGCGUCGAAUGUGAAAACCCGGGGCUCAACCCCGGGCCUGCAUUCGAUACGGGCAGGCUCGAGUUCGGUAGGGGAGACUGGAAUUCCUGGUGUAGCGGUGAAAUGCGCAGAUAUCAGGAGGAACACCGGUGGCGAAGGCGGGUCUCUGGGCCGAUACUGACGCUGAGGAGCGAAAGCGUGGGGAGCGAACAGG